CAGAGACUGCGAGCGUUAUUCGGAUUCACUGGGCGUAAAGGGUGCGCAGGCGGCCGUGUGUGUGAGGCGUGAAAGCCCGGGGCUUAACCCCGGAAUUGCACCUCAAACUACAUGGCUAGAGCAUUGGAGAGGGUAGCGGAAUUCACGGUGUAGCAGUGAAAUGCGUAGAUAUCGUGAGGAACACCAGAGGCGAAGGCGGCUACCUGGACAAUUGCUGACGCUCAGGCACGAAAGCGUGGGGAGCAAAAGGGAUUAGAUACCCCUGUAGUCCACGCCCUAAACGGUGCACACUAGUCUCGCCGAUCGCCCAUCAGGGCCCAAGCUAACGCGUUAAGUGUGCCGCCUGAGGACUACGGCCGCAAGGCUA
rnacentral:rRNA from 1 species